GAGGGUAUAGCUCAGUGGUAAAGCAUAUGCUUAGCAUGCUCAAGAUCUUGGGUUCAAUCCCCAGUACCUCCA
rnacentral:tRNA from 1 species